rnacentral:tRNA from 1 species
GCCUGGGUGGCUCAGUCAGUUGAGCGUCCGACUUUAGCUCAGGUCAUGAUUUCGUGGUUUGUGAGUUCGAGCCCCGCCUCGGGCU